UUGCUCUUAUGAAGUUAGCGGCGGACGGGUGAGUAACACGUGGGUAACCUGCCCAUAAGACUGGGAUAACUCCGGGAAACCGGGGCUAAUACCGGAUAAUAUUUUGAACCGCAUGGUUCGAAAUUGAAAGGCGGCUUCGGCUGUCACUUAUGGAUGGACCCGCGUCGCAUUAGCUAGUUGGUGAGGUAACGGCUCACCAAGGCAACGAUGCGUAGCCGACCUGAGAGGGUGAUCGGCCACACUGGGACUGAGACACGGCCCAGACUCCUACGGGAGGCAGCAGUAGGGAAUCUUCCGCAAUGGACGAAAGUCUGACGGAGCAACGCCGCGUGAGUGAUGAAGGCUUUCGGGUCGUAAAACUCUGUUGUUAGGGAAGAACAAGUGCUAGUUGAAUAAGCUGGCACCUUGACGGUACCUAACCAGAAAGCCACGGCUAACUACGUGCCAGCAGCCGCGGUAAUACGUAGGUGGCAAGCGUUAUCCGGAAUUAUUGGGCGUAAAGCGCGCGCAGGUGGUUUCUUAAGUCUGAUGUGAAAGCCCACGGCUCAACCGUGGAGGGUCAUUGGAAACUGGGAGACUUGAGUGCAGAAGAGGAAAGUGGAAUUCCAUGUGUAGCGGUGAAAUGCGUAGAGAUAUGGAGGAACACCAGUG
rnacentral:rRNA from 1 species